GUCUACCGCCAUACUGCCCUGAACGCGCCCACUCUCAUCUGAUCUCAGAAGCUAAGCAGGGUCGGGCCUGGUUAGUACUUAGAUGGGAGACUGCUUGGAAAUACCAGGUGUUGUAGGCU
rnacentral:rRNA from 1 species